UACAGAGGGUGCAAGCGUUGUUCGGAAUUAUUGGGCGUAAAGCGCGUGUAGGCGGCUUUGCAAGUCGGGUGUGAAAGCCCUCAGCUCAACUGAGGAAGUGCGCCCGAAACUGCAGAGCUUGAGUACCGGAGAGGAUGGCGGAAUUCCCCAAGUAGAGGUGAAAUUCGUAGAUAUGGGGAGGAACACCGGUGGCGAAGGCGGCCAUCUGGACGGAUACUGACGCUGAGGCACGAAAGCGUGGGGAGCAAACAGG
rnacentral:rRNA from 1 species